rnacentral:rRNA from 1 species
GGGAGGACCAUCUCCUAAGGCUAAAUACUCUCUAGUGACCGAUAGUGAACCAGUACCGUGAGGGAAAGGUGAAAAGCACCCCGGAAGGAGAGUGAAAUAGAACCUGAAACCGUGUGCUUACAAGUAGUCAGAGCCCGUUAAUGGGUGAUGGCGUGCCUUUUGUAGAAUGAACCGGCGAGUUACGAUUUGAUGCAAGGUUAAGCAGUAAAUGUGGAGCCGUAGCGAAAGCGAGUCUGAAUAGGGCGUUUAGUAUUUGGUCGUAGACCCGAAACCAGGUGAUCUACCCUUGGUCAGGUUGAAGUUCAGGUAACACUGAAUGGAGGACCGAACCGACUUACGUUGAAAAGUGAGCGGAUGAACUGAGGGUAGCGGAGAAAUUCCAAUCGAACCUGGAGAUAGCUGGUUCUCUCCGAAAUAGCUUUAGGGCUAGCCUCAAGUGAUGAUUAUUGGAGGUAGAGCACUGUUUGGACGAGGGGCCCCUCUCGGGUUACCGAAUUCAGACAAACUCCGAAUGCCAAUUAAUUUAACUUGGGAGUCAGAACAUGGGUGAUAAGGUCCGUGUUCGAAAGGGAAACAGCCCAGACCACCAGCUAAGGUCCCAAAAUAUAUGUUAAGUGGAAAAGGAUGUGGCGUUGCCCAGACAACUAGGAUGUUGGCUUAGAAGCAGCCAUCAUUUAAAGAGUGCGUAAUAGCUCACUAGUCGAGUGACACUGCGCCGAAAAUGUACCGGGGCUAAACAUAUUACCGAAGCUGUGGAUUGUCCUUUGGACAAUGGUAGGAGAGCGUUCUAAGGGCGUUGAAGCAUGAUCGUAAGGACAUGUGGAGCGCUUAGAAGUGAGAAUGCCGGUGUGAGUAGCGAAAGACGGGUGAGAAUCCCGUCCACCGAUUGACUAAGGUUUCCAGAGGAAGGCUCGUCCGCUCUGGGUUAGUCGGGUCCUAAGCUGAGGCCGACAGGCGUAGGCGAUGGAUAACAGGUUGAUAUUCCUGUACCACCUAUAAUCGUUUUAAUCGAUGGGGGGACGCAGUAGGAUAGGCGAAGCGUGCGAUUGGAUUGCACGUCUAAGCAGUAAGGCUGAGUAUUAGGCAAAUCCGGUACUCGUUAAGGCUGAGCUGUGAUGGGGAGAAGACAUUGAGUCUUCGAGUCGUUGAUUUCACACUGCCGAGAAAAGCCUCUAGAUAGAAAAUAGGUGCCCGUACCGCAAACCGACACAGGUAGUCAAGAUGAGAAUUCUAAGGUGAGCGAGCGAACUCUCGUUAAGGAACUCGGCAAAAUGACCCCGUAACUUCGGGAGAAGGGGUGCUCUUUAGGGUUAACGCCCAGAAGAGCCGCAGUGAAUAGGCCCAAGCGACUGUUUAUCAAAAACACAGGUCUCUGCUAAACCGUAAGGUGAUGUAUAGGGGCUGACGCCUGCCCGGUGCUGGAAGGUUAAGAGGAGUGGUUAGCUUCUGCGAAGCUACGAAUCGAAGCCCCAGUAAACGGCGGCCGUAACUAUAACGGUCCUAAGGUAGCGAAAUUCCUUGUCGGGUAAGUUCCGACCCGCACGAAAGGCGUAACGAUUUGGGCACUGUCUCAACGAGAGACUCGGUGAAAUCAUAGUACCUGUGAAGAUGCAGGUUACCCGCGACAGGACGGAAAGACCCCGUGGAGCUUUACUGUAGCCUGAUAUUGAAAUUCGGCACAGCUUGUACAGGAUAGGUAGGAGCCUUUGAAACGUGAGCGCUAGCUUACGUGGAGGCGCUGGUGGGAUACUACCCUAGCUGUGUUGGCUUUCUAACCCGCACCACUUAUCGUGGUGGGAGACAGUGUCAGGCGGGCAGUUUGACUGGGGCGGUCGCCUCCUAAAAGGUAACGGAGGCGCUCAAAGGUUCCCUCAGAAUGGUUGGAAAUCAUUCAUAGAGUGUAAAGGCAUAAGGGAGCUUGACUGCGAGACCUACAAGUCGAGCAGGGUCGAAAGACGGACUUAGUGAUCCGGUGGUUCCGCAUGGAAGGGCCAUCGCUCAACGGAUAAAAGCUACCCCGGGGAUAACAGGCUUAUCUCCCCCAAGAGUUCACAUCGACGGGGAGGUUUGGCACCUCGAUGUCGGCUCAUCGCAUCCUGGGGCUGUAGUCGGUCCCAAGGGUUGGGCUGUUCGCCCAUUAAAGCGGUACGCGAGCUGGGUUCAGAACGUCGUGAGACAGUUCGGUCCCUAUCCGUCGUGGGCGUAGGAAAUUUGAGAGGAGCUGUCCUUAGUACGAGAGGACCGGGAUGGACAUACCUCUGGUGUACCAGUUGUCGUGCCAACGGCAUAGCUGGGUAGCUAUGUGUGGACGGGAUAAGUGCUGAAAGCAUCUAAGCAUGAAGCCCCCCUCAAGAUGAGAUUUCCCAACUUCGGUUAUAAGAUCCCUCAAAGAUGAUGAGGUUAAUAGGUUCGAGGUGGAAGCAUGGUGACAUGUGGAGCUGACGAAUACUAAUCGAUCGAAGACUUAAUCAA